GUGUGUCUGUCAACUACAGCAAUCCGCUCCAGCCAGUCAGUCCGUCUGCGCCUGUGCCUGUGAAAGAGCUGCUUGCCUCUGGGAGGGUGGG